ensembl:lncRNA
CAAACUCCAUUUUUCUCAUUGAGUAAGUGGACAACAGGUCAAGCCAGAAACGUGGGUAACCUUGAACCAUGCACCUGAGCAAGGCAGGAGCAAGAGCAGCCUCCCAGACAAGGUCAGGGGCACAUGCAGUCCACCUGGAAAGAACUGCCAUGCCUUUGUUAAUGGGCCUCGUCCUGUCUUUAAAUACUAACAGCUAGAGGGAGUUAAAAGGAUUUCUGAAAGGUUUAUUUUAAGGCUCUUCUGUGGACCCACAACUUCACAGAAAUUUCAUGAGAGCCGACUUCUCUCAUCUGCCUUAGACAGAUCCUGUAAGUUUUGUAGGUUUGUGUGUGAUGAUGGAUAAGAGACUUGGUGAAAGAGCUUUUGACAUUCCUGCCAUCACCUCCAGAAAGUGCGAGUAGAGCACUAGAGCGUUUUUCAGAAGACUCGAAGAAAAUACCCUUUCAUUCAGGAUCAAGCUUGCUAUUUAAGUGCCUUCAACCAACUCAACAGGAAAACAAGAGACAGCCAAAAAAAAUCACACUUCACUUUCUAGAAUGUUGAUAGCUUUACCAUAAUCCACUCAUGUGUUCACUGAUCUAAAGACAAAGAACUCGCUCGUACCAGAGGUUGGGUUUACUUACCCUGUAUGUCUGGACAUGAAUGGCCUCCCCUCUCUAAGUGUCCAGCUGUUUGGCACUGAGGAGACAGGCUGUUCGGAUCACUGAUGCAAUUGUGGAACCCAGUGGCCUGAAGCCGGUCAGUGAAGAGGCUGCUCGGAUCCCCGGGCCUCACAGGCCACAGGAAGCCAGCGAGGGCGGGGCUCCGAGCCUGUUUAAGGCCAGGUCCCUGCGGAGCGCAGCCUCCUACAUACCAGGUAGCACCAGGUAGUUUUCCACCACAAAUUUGCUCCAGAAUCACCUAGAAGCUCUGGAAAUGCAAAUCCACUGAGUCAGAGCGCUGGAAUUGAGCCGCAGACUGCAAUUUUAACAAGCACUGCAGGUGACUUUGAGCUUAAGAACCACCAGUCUCACACGUGGACUUUAAAAACUCACGUGGAGAAUAUUUCUCAUUCCUCAGUUUAAAACAUUCUUUAAUAGUAUCUCCGCUUAGAGCGGAGAAGUUCCAGGAAACAGAAUGCCAAGCCCUGGAGGGGACAGGAUAUGGGCUUCAGAAUCAUCACGUGCUGUCUCCUACCACGCUCAGGUCAGGUGAGAGGGGCCUCGUUACCUGGGACCUGCUGUGAGGCAGCGGCUGUGACUAGCUCUCCAGGUCCUUCCAGUUAAGCUUGAACUGUGUUUUUUAGAGGCUUGAGCUGAACGCCCCUUGGUUCCAGGUGGAACACAUUUUCACUUAAAACCAUCAAAUGUUGGCUCUGAAGGGAAUUGAGAGAUCUAGUCCAGAGCCCCCAUUUUUAUAAAGGAGGAGUUACUGGUUAGAAGCAGACAAUAAUGCUACGAUGAUAAAUUCCUGAAUUUAUAUUCAAGGAGCUUCAUGGAGAGAGGGAGUUAGGAGGAGAGCAAUCAAGUAGGAACUAAAUCAUCCUCUCCAAAUUCAGAGAGGCCUCCAGUUUCCUGACAAUCCUUUCAAGGGGAGUGCAUGCCAGGCGGGGACUCUCAAAUUCCCCAGCGUCGCCAGGCUUCCCUGUCGGCUCAGAGAGGACAGCUUGCCCUGCCGGCCCUGGCUGAGCAGGCUCUUCCACCCAGAAACACACCAACCCCUAACGUGGCCUGGUCCGUGGUCUGGUUUGUUCCCUACAUGGUGUCAGUUCUGUACCAAGUUUUGCUCUGGGCCCUGGUAUAUAUCAUUAACAGGAGAGGUGGGAGCUACUCUCACGGAGCUCACUGUCUCAUUACAAACUCAUUAAAUUCUGUUUCUGUGUUUUAACUGUCCAGUUUCUGCUUUGAGAGAAAAUUUUGGUGCUUUGUUUUUGAUAAAGAAUAAUUCACUCACUCCUUCAUUUUCUCUUUCCACAAUAUUCAUAGGAAACCGCACCAUCAGGCAUGUAAUACACCCUGUGGGCCAAGCAUUACUUUAGGUGCUGGGGAGUCAGCAGUAAAUGAGGGAAACGUGGCCCCCUCUCAAGGAGUUUUCAAUCAAGUGUAGAGAGGCAGGAAAUCGAUAAAGAACAAGGCAAUUACUGUGGUGAGUGCAAGGGUGAUAUGACAGAGUGGCUAGGAGUGGGAGUGAAGAAAGCCUUCUCUGAAAGGGUUACAUUUGACUUGAGAUUUGAAUGAUACAAGAAGCCUGUUGAGAGAAGGAGGGCAGGGAACAGCAUGUGCAAAGGCCCUGAGCCAGAAGUGAAUUUGGUGCUGUUCCGGGAACAGAGAGGAGGUCAGGGUGGAGAAGUAGGGAGGGACUGGAUCACAGACAGCCUUGCAGGUGGUGGAUGGGGUUUUAAGCUAUGGAGAAACUUGAUCUGAUUAACAUUUUUAAAGCUCCUCCGGUUGCGUUGAGGAGAGUGGAUGUGGUGAGGGGAGAACAAAGCAGGAACACCCACUACAAGGCUAUUGCAGUCUUUCAGGCAAAGAAAAAGGAAGAUCAGAGGAGGUAUAGGAUUUGCCCAAUGUUGCACGUAAUCAGUAAAUGUAAUGACGAGGGUGUGAACACCCAAGUGUAAUAUAUCUUCUGCUGGUAUUGAUAUUCCCACCAUGGCCAAUUUCAAGAUACCAGUGUGAUUUGGGGAAGAUGUGAACAAACUCAGCUCAGGCACACCACUGCAUGGAACCAUCAUCUACACUCUACCACUAACGUUUCAGUAUACUUGUUUAUCACACUUGUAUCCAGCCCUGUGUCAAUAAAUCUUAUUUUUUGUAAAUUUCAGAUAUAAAUAUAAUUCCCUCUAAAUACUGAAGCAUUCAUAUUAACCAGAGUUUAAUAUUUGUUUUCAGUAUUUCUUUUGAUGUAAAAUAAACUUUUAGUCUUAACUGUAUGUUCACUGAGUUUUGACAAAUUCAUACACCUGUGUAAU